GCGAGUAGAGUGGCAAACGGGUGAGUAACGCGUGGGUGACCUGCCUUCGAGCGGGGGAUAACCUUCCGAAAGGGGGGCUAAUACCGCAUAAUAUCCCGCCCUUGGAUGGGUGGUGAUCAAAGUCGGGGAUCUUCGGACCUGGCGCUUGAAGAGGGACCCGCGUCCGAUUAGCUUGUUGGUGGGGUAGUGGCCUACCAAGGCAUCUAUCGGUAGCCGGCCUGAGAGGGCGGACGGCCACACUGGGACUGAGACACGGCCCAGACUCCUACGGGAGGCAGCAGUAGGGAAUUGUUCGCAAUGGGCGCAAGCCUGACGACGCAACGCCGCGUGGAGGACGAAGAUCUUCGGGUUGUAAACUCCUGUCAAGUGGGAAGAACAGCGUGGUGGUUAAUAGCCAUUGCGCCUGACGGUACCACUGAAGGAAGCCCCGGCUAACUCCGUGCCAGCAGCCGCGGUAAUACGGGGGGGGCAAGCGUUGUUCGGAAUUACUGGGCGUAAAGGGCUCGUAGGCGGCCAUCCAAGUCGGACGUGAAAUCCCCAGGCUCAACCUGGGAACUGCGUUCGAUACUGGUUGGCUUGAAUCCGGGAGAGGGAUGCGGAAUUCCAGGUGUAGCGGUGAAAUGCGUAGAUAUCUGGAGGAACACCGGUGG
rnacentral:rRNA from 1 species